GGGGCUGUGGUGUAACUUGGUCAGGAAGGGGAUUUCCUUUUUUGGAGUAAUUAGCAUCAGAGGUUUGGGACCUCUAGAUUCCGGUUCAAAUCCGGGCAGCCCCG
rnacentral:tRNA from 1 species